rnacentral:rRNA from 1 species
UACGUAGGCAGCGAGCGUUGUUCGGAGUUACUGAGCGUAAAGAGUGCGUAGGCGGUUUUCUAAGUUUGGUGUGAAAUCUCCCGGCUCAACUGGGAGGGUGCGCCGAAGACUGGAAGGCUUGAGUAUGGGAGAGGUAAGCGGAAUUCCUGGUGUAGCGGUGAAAUGCGUAGAUAUCAGGAGGAACACCUGCGGUGUAGACGGCUUACUGGACCAUAACUGACGCUGAGGCACGAAAGCGUGGGUAGCAAACAGG